GAUGAACGCUGGCGGCGUGCCUAAUACAUGCAAGUCGAGCGAACAGACGAGGAGCUUGCCCCUCUGACGUUAGCGGCGGACGGGUGAGUAACACGUGGAUAACCUACCUAUAAGACUGGGAUAACUUCGGGAAACCGGAGCUAAUACCGGAUAACAUGUUGAACCGCAUGGUUCAACAGUGAAAGACGGUUUUGCUGUCACUUAUAGAUGGAUCCGCGUCGCAUUAGCUAGUUGGUAAGGUAACGGCUUACCAAGGCAACGAUGCGUAGCCGACCUGAGAGGGUGAUCGGCCACACUGGAACUGAGACACGGUCCAGACUCCUACGGGAGGCAGCAGUAGGGAAUCUUCCGCAAUGGGCGAAAGCCUGACGGAGCAACGCCGCGUGAGUGAAGAAGGUCUUCGGAUCGUAAAACUCUGUUAUUAGGGAAGAACAAAUGCGUAAGUAACUAUGCACGUCUUGACGGUACCUAAUCAGAAAGCCACGGCUAACUACGUG
rnacentral:rRNA from 1 species